rnacentral:rRNA from 1 species
UACGUAGGGACCAAGCGUUGUUCGGAUUUACUGGGCGUAAAGGGCGCGUAGGCGGCUUAACAAGUCACUUGUGAAAUCUCCGGGCUUAACUCGGAACGGCCAAGUGAAACUGUUAUGCUAGAGUGCAGAAGGGGCAAUCGGAAUUCCUGGUGUAGCGGUGAAAUGCGCAGAUAUCAGGAGGAACACCCCGUGGCGAAGGCGGUUCUCUGGGACGGUACUGACGCUGAGACGCGAAAGCGUGGGGAGCAAACAGG